UAGGGAAUCUCCCACAAUGGACGCAAGUCUGAUGGAGCAACGCCGCGUGAGUGAAGAAGGGUUUCGGCUCGUAAAGCUCUGUUGUUAAAGAAGAACGUGGGUAAGAGUAACUGUUUACCCAGUGACGGUAUUUAACCAGAAAGCCACGGCUAACUACGUGUCAG
rnacentral:rRNA from 1 species